AACGAACGCUGGCGGCAUGCCUAACACAUGCAAGUCGAACGAACCCUUCGGGGUUAGUGGCGCACGGGUGCGUAACGCGUGGGAAUCUGCCCUUUGCUUCGGAAUAACAGUUAGAAAUGACUGCUAAUACCGGAUGAUGUCUUCGGACCAAAGAUUUAUCGGCAAGGGAUGAGCCCGCGUAGGAUUAGGUAGUUGGCGGGGUAAAGGCCUACCAAGCCGACGAUCCUUAGCUGGUCUGAGAGGAUGAUCAGCCACACUGGGACUGAGACACGGCCCAGACUCCUACGGGAGGCAGCAGUGGGGAAUAUUGGACGAUGGGCGCAAGCCUGAUCCAGCAAUGCCGCGUGAGUGAUGAAGGCCUUCGGGUCGUAAAGCUCUUUUACCAGGGAUGAUAAUGACAGUACCUGGAGAAUAAGCUCCGGCUAACUCCGUGCCAGCCGCCGCGGUAAAAC
rnacentral:rRNA from 1 species